GGCGGGGCCUCUGGGCUGAGUCUUGCACCUCUGGGCUGAAUGCCCAGGCCACCUCCCGUCCAGGCCACCCUGCGACUGCUGGCCGAGUCCUGAGGGACAGUCUUUAUCUGGCCUUUUCUGAGGGCCGGUGCUGCUGUCACCUGAGUCUCCCCAGCGGCCGGGACGCCUCCUGUCUGUCCUCCUCCAGUGGGUGCCCCACAGGCCAUCGGUUCCGUGUCACACCGCACGUCUGUCCUCAUCGACCCCGGGCUGAAGACCCUGCCGAGCCCUCUCCUGUUUAAGCCCCAACACCUCCUUGGUGCCCUGGGAGGGCCUUCGGGCGGCCCCAGCUCUCCGUCCUUGUCGCCCAACACCCUGGGUGCCUGUGCUGUCCGUGCACGCUGCGCGCACGCGCUCUGCGGGUCUCUACACUUCGGCACGUGCGGUUCCCGCUCCUGGAGCCCUGGUUCCUCUUGUCCUGGCGAGCUCCUGUCCUCCUCCCAGGCACAGCUGUAACGUCCCCUUCUCCGCCCGCCGCGAGCGUCAGGAGCUCCCGUCUGGGGUUCUGGCAGCGCCCUGUGCCUUCCUGCUGCCUGCCUUCGCUGGGCUCUUCUUCCCGGGCUGGAGCUGCUCUCCAGGAGUGCCGGGAAGACAAGGACAAGCUCUUACUCGUUCCUGUAAGCCGGGCGCCUGCCACAGCUGCUGCUGAGGGGACGUUGGCUCAACAGAGCACUGCUUUCUCUUCCAGCGAGCUGGCCUCCUCUCUCCUUGCGGAAGCCUGAGGAAACAGGAAUGCCGGCCCCGAGGUGAGGAGCAGAGGGUGCCUUCGUGGAUGUGAGGCCUCGGGGCUGCGGGGCACCUGAGCGAUCAGCAGGUCCAACUCCCUCCAUGCCGGUGUCCCCUCCUCGGCUCGUCGCCCCAGGAGUGGUUGCGAGCUGCGUCCAGACACCCCAGAACCUCGUCGGAGUGGUUUCAAAUCAUGAGGGAGGGUCCCGGGAAUGGUGGGUGGGCUGCUGGCGUUCCUCCCGAAUCCCGGUUUUGAAGAACUGGAACUUGCCCAGUGAGCUAGAGGCCCGUGAUCGGUGGCUGCUGGUUGGGGGACAGCUGUGACGGCGCUCCGUAAGGACUCCCUUCUCUGACCCUCCCGUGUGUGCUGAGAGGCGGGGAGCCCCAGGUCCCCCGGGGCGGGGGAGGUCCGGGGUAGUGGCUGCCAGGCCAGUUCGCUGCCGGAUGGGCGGGUGCAGGAGGAAUGGCCUGGCCGUGUUGCAGGUGGGCGUGGGACGGUGUGUGGCUGCCCCCGGGAGAGGGACCCCUCUGCAGCUCAGCCUUGAUCUUCAGUACAGCUAAGUCAGCGCCGAGCCUUCAAACCAUCUGAUUUCUGACUUCCCGGUGACGCUUUCUCCACCUGCUGCUUCCCACACCCUCCAGGAGCAAGGUCCCGGCAGGAACAGGCCUUCUCUCCCUCCUGUCUGCUCACUUGGGGGUCAGCCGGGCCUCCAGCCUGGCCGCUCCCGCCUUCCGCUGCUCGGGCUGCUGCUUCCUCCCAGCCCCUGUGACUGGGCCGCAGCCCACAUCCCAGGAGGGAGUCUCCUCCCCAAGCUCCGCUUCCUCCCCCGACACGCUUCUGUCCCCGUGAGGCACCCCAUCUUCCUUCUAGGAAGUCCUCGUCGUUUGCGCCACUGCUCUUUGGGGGGCGGUGCCCCCAGGACAUCGUCUCCCCUCGGAGCCCGGGGCACCUGCUCUGAGUGCACUUCCCCUUCUGACCCCCGCCCAUGGCACCAGCAGACCUCACUGUCCCUGCGACCCAUCUGGGCACUUGCCUCGGCGGCUGCGUCCCCUUCUCGGCCCCGGGGGCCUGGGUGCCUCCAGCCCCCACCCCAACUGCGUCUUUGAGGCCCGGAGAGGGUUCCAGUUUGCUCCUGCCGCACGUUUGGGGGUACCACCGGUGUGGGACGGGCUCGACCCAAAGUCUCAGUUUCCCUAGUGUCCUCCUUGGUAGGGCUGGUUUCCUCUCUGCAACGCCUUUUGCCCAUCUUUCCACUGAGCUGCGUGUCCUUUUUGUGCCGAGUCGUGGGAGCUCCUUCCGGGGUCCGGGUACUAGUCCCGCCCUGGUUGUUUGUGUUUCAGAUGCCUCCUCCUGCCCCUUGGGGGCUGGUUUCCUCCUCUCUCUGAAGGGCAGCUUUGGACUCGGCAUGCGCCUACACCCUCUCCGGCCUGUAAGUGCCCCACACGUCAGGGCGUGUCCCGCCGGCCCACUCCCAGGCCCGCCCCCUGGGGCUGGUGGUCCCCGAGGAGCCGGUGCCCUGGCGUCCAGCGCUCUGCCCGUGAGAAAGGGCUCCUUCUUGACUGGGUAAGUCACUCGGUCAGUGCCUGGCUUUAGUCCCUGCCCUGGACUCACGCAGGGCAAGCCCCGGGGCAGCCGUGCAGCUGCAGGAAGACGGCCGGCCUUGUUUUCUCUGCCCCAGCUCCCGGUUUACCUCCUGCCGCCCCACAUCUGGCCUGUUUCUAAGACGUGCUCCCCUGCCCCCUCCUUCCCCUCUGUCCCCUGGGCAGCUCCUGUUGGCCGUGUCCCUCUCCACACGGCCCAGAUCGAGGGGUCCAGCCUGAGAACCGCAGGUGUUUCUGAUUCUGUCUCAGUGACUGGCGCUGCAGGACCUCGGGAAGAAGCUGCACGCAGGGGACCUGCAGACGUGAGCAGCCACUUGGCCGCCACUGCUCGGGUUGGCGCCUGCGCAGGGAACGUGGCGCAGCACAGGGGGCCUCCUGUGCGCUUCUGGCGAUGCCCCCACUUGCAUUCACGUUACAGACGGUUAUAUCGCCUUUGGCUGGGGGCGGGAGAUGCUCGUCUCCAGGUCUGCGGCACUCCUGAGCUCUUGGGUCUACGUGCUCUUCAGCGUCCUCAGUCUCUGGGCAACGACCCGGGCCCCAGGCCCUCCGCAGCUGGAGGGGGCCUUCCCGACAUCAGGCCGUGGCCCAGUGAAUGGGGCCAGCUUCCUUGUUUGAGAGAUUCAGGAGUGGGGCCGGGGUGCGGGGGUGGGAGUCUGGAGCGAGCGUUGCCAUCCCGUAACCGUGGUCACAGGGCUUGGAUGACAGGACUGCUGUGCUCUGUGCCUGUAGGGCCCAUUCAGCCGCCUCCUGAGUAUCCCUGUGCUCUCCGUGGUGACUUUACAAAGGACAGAGAGGAUGUGAAGAGUCAGGAGCAAGGGACGCCCAUAAGGCAUCGCCUGGAGGCAGGAAGGGUCAUCCCAGGUUCUGAAGGAUUCCUCGGCAGACAUCUCACUAAGCCCUGCGCCUGGUUCCGGAGGAUACUGGAUUGCAGCCUCUCCCUGCUGAAGACCAACUGACAAACCCUCGGGAAUGGCCCUGCGUACCUGGGACCAGUGACAGCCUCUGCUCAGAAACCCCGGCCCAGGGGUGCUCCUGAAGCGGCCGCAGAGACAGAGUUUAUCGCGUCUCCCACAUCAGGGUCAAGCUGGGCCCGGUGUCCACCAGCCUCCAGCUGUCUGGUUGUCCCGCUUCCCGGUGUUGGGUCACCCAGCGCGGAGCCCGAGGUCCCUUUGGGAGGGGCUGGGGGGUCAUUCCAGUGCCUGCUUGCCGUGGUGCUGCAGCGUCCUUCCCGCUGGGGACCCGCCACGUCCCUGGUCCGCGGUUCCACGUCUGAGAACUGGCUCGGGGGCAGAACCUGGGCGAGGGAUCGUGACUUGUUCACUGGGGCGGCUGCCCUCGGCCUCCUGCCGUCCGUCCUUGCUCUUUUGAGUGUCCAUCUUAGACUGUAUCUUGGUUGGUUGCCCAUCCAUCGAGCCCCCGGGAAGCCGUAUGGUACUGACCACCUGCCCCGCUCGGUGGGUCAGGCCUCCUGGUCAGUGGCGGCCAUCGUCAUAGCCCCUGGUUUCUGGCCGCUCAGUGGCGCCCCACGACCUCUGCUGCGGUCCCUGGGCGGCGGGGGAGGGCAGGGGCUCGUCCCUUUCCUCCCUCACCUGGCCUGGCGCGCCCGGCCUGUGUUGUGAGGUGACUUCGCUCUGCUUGGGGGCCUGGCAGUGGGCUGACCACCUCUCCCCAUUUUUCCUGCACUCUCCUGCUUGUAGCGCUUCGGGUCCCACAGCAAAUCGGGGCGGCUGGCUACCCUGUCUCCUGGGACGGAGGGCACCUGUGGGGAAGGACACGGGUCAUGUUUGCUCCCUCGGGGGUGAGUUGGGGACGCCAGCUCUUUAGGGGGAGGGGUGUGCCGCUGCCUCAGGCUCAGAAGCUCAGAGACAUCUGGGGAGCCCCGCUCUUCUGGGGCUUCCUCCCGGUCUCCCUGGUCCUCGUGUCAAGGAUGCAGGUUUGCCCAGGUGGGCUUCCGAUGCUGGCGGGACGGGCGUGCCUUGGUUGAACGUUCAGCGUCUUUGAGGUUCAGCCACUUCUGUCGAAUCCUGGGUUGGACGAUUGUCCGCUGCCUGAGAUGGGGGCUCCUUUGUAAGGUACUGGGGAGACCCUGGGGCCCCCUUUUUUCUCACUUUGCUCUUCACCCUAAGCUGCUCAUCCCCUAUGGUCGGCAAAGCAAAGAAGUCACCUCCCCCUGUGCCCCCCGCGUUCCGCACGCUUGGAUCUUCUCACCUGCCAGGACGUUCCUCUCCCCCUGCCAGCCCAGCGAAAAUUCUAGCAUGAAAGUUCUAGCAACUGGGCUGUGGCCUUGCGGCCGGGGCUGUCCGCCCGCACACCACCCAUCCCCGGGGUGGGGUCCUCAUUGCCAGUGAGGCGGGUGAUGACAAUCCCGUACCAAGACCCCAUCUCAUCACCUGCUCCUUGGACCACUCCAGGGCCGGCCGGCUCGGGUUGCGUCCCUCGGGAAGCUGAUCCCGGGAGAGAGUUAGUGCCAAAGGCUGGCUGGGGACUCACACCCACUAAGGGGACAGGGAGCAAGCAGGGUUGGGCAGGGUGUCCCUUCAACCUGCGAUGUCGACCUGACGGUUUCUGCCAGCCCGUCGGGGAGCUGCAGAGCACGGACGGGCAUUAGAGGUCCCCGCAGUGGGCCCCCGUGGUCAGGCCCUCGCAGCGCCCGAGGCCUUGCGAUCCACAUCGACUGACCGGGAGAACCAACACCCAGAAGUGGUGCCCGAGGGGUGGCUGCGUGCGCGCACGGGGCGCCAGCUGCCUUUGCCCGGGCAGCACCUUGCUCUGCCCUGCGGCCGGCCUGGUGGGAGGUGCUUUGGCUUCUUGUGCAUCAGACGACCGCUGGGUUGGGCCGGGGACGUGCUUCCAGGGCGUUGGCUGACUGGCCAUCUGUCAGCGUCAUCGGUGUCAGCGCAGCUUGAUGGGAGAGGGCAGAUCUGGGUACCAGGCGUCAGAAGGCAAAGCCCAUUUAAGUCCGCAGACGUCCGUCCUGUGAGAGGGUCCUGGACUGUGCAGGGACACAGGUGUCCACUCGCCCUUGGGUUACUCAGGGCUGGUGGGGGAGGGGCAUCUUCCAGGCAGACCUGUAAAGCACAGAGUCUGAACCGAGGCGGAAGGAGGGCAACGUGAAGAGCGGGGAAGCCCUGACUCAGAGCCAGGGGCUGCGGAGGGCUUCAGGGACGAGGGCCGUCUGGGCUGGGUCUUGAAGUGAGAAGGGUCUCCUUAGCUGGGAGAUGGGGGACGGGCCCCCUGGAAGGGCCAGACACGUUCAGGGGACUGAGCCCAGGUGCUUGUGGAGCCAGUUCAUGGGAGAGGAAGCUGGGAAACCAGACUGGGUUCAACUCGGAGGCCACCCUAAGGAGUCAGGCCUGUGCGCUGCGUACAGUAGAUCAAUGCCCUCACUUGCGCUUUUAAAGGCAAACCACUGUUUCUCUCCCUGAGAAGAAUUCAUCGAUUCACUCAUUUGGUUAGUCGGUGAUCUGACAAACCUCUGUGUGCCUCCCAGGCCAGGCAGCAGUUAGAGAAGAGCGGCACGCGGGUGAGUAAGGUGUCGCUCCGCGUGCAGGUGCUUGUCCUUGCCGAUCUGUACACGUGCGCCUUUCUCUGCAGGCGGCCUCCUUUUCCUGGCUUGUGAUGAGGUUUCCAAUUCUUGUUCCUGACUUCAGAAAGAAGAUUAGAGAGACGCCGGAGUUUGCCGAGAGAAGGGAACUAAAUCUAAAAGAGUGAAUCCAUCUGCGUGAAAUAGACUCUCCAGGGUGCCUUGUCAUUGGGAGGAAUUUGAAACUGCCGUGUGUCACUGGUGCAUGGCUGAAGAGAAGGCAACGAAAGGAUGACCACCAUUUCCCCCCGAAAAAACUAUUAGGGAAGGUUAUUGAUUAUUUUCCAAAUACCUUCCACCUUCAUCAGAGGACAUUAUGAUCAUUAAAGAGCUGAGGGAACUUACGCCCCCGGAGAGGGGAAGGGGCUGGUCUGGAAAAACAGAGUCUGUCAACAGCAUAGGCAGGACUAGAGCCCAGGUUUCUUAACUCCGAGUUCACUGUCCUGAUUCUCCAACUGCCUUGCCUUCUUGUUUUGGGGAUUCAGAAUCUGGACGUCAUGGCCCAGUCACUGAAUUGGGAAUUUCUAAGUCCCUUGGAGUCCAAAAGAAAGACCAUUCUAGAUGUCAGACUGCCAUCCAGGGCUGUGCAGCAACUGAGUGAUGAGAAAAUACCCCACUCUGCGAUCCUGGCGUGCGCUAAUAUUGAGGGCGAGAGAACAUGCUUAAAUCGUCUUACCAAUUUGACAGGAAUGGUUUCAUAUCCGGCACACUGUGGCCCCACUCCU